rnacentral:rRNA from 1 species
AUUGAACGCUGGCGGCAGGCCUAACACAUGCAAGUCGAGCGAGCGGCGGACGGGUGAGUAAUGGCUGGGAAACUGCCUGAUGGAGAGGGAUAACUACUGGAAACGGUAGCUAAUACUGCAUACCAUCAGAUGUGCCCAGAGGGGAUGAGCUAGUGGGUGGGGUAACGGCUCACCUAGGCGACGAUCCCUAACGGGUCCGAGAGGAUGACCAGCCAAACUGGAACUUAGACACGGGCCAGACUCCUACGGGAGGCAGCAGUGGGGAAUAUUGCACAAUGGGCGCAAGCCUGAUGCAGCCAUGCCGCGUGUGUGAAGAAGGCCUUCGGGUUGUAAAGCACUUUCAGCGGGGAGGCGUUACCCGCAGAAGAAGCACCGGCUAACUCCGUGCCAGCAGCCGCGGUAAUUC